rnacentral:rRNA from 1 species
CCCGAAACCAGGUGAGCUACCCCGAGACAGCCUAUGUUCAUUUAGGGCUAACCCGUCUCUGUGGCAAAAGAGUGGGAAGAGCUCCGGGUAGAAGUGACAGACCUACCGAACCUGGUGAUAGCUGGUUGCCUGAGAAGUGGAUAGAAGUUCAGCCUCAUACGCCCCGAGCCAAAGAAUACAACGCUAAGGUGUUCAGGGAAAGAUAUGAGAGUUAGUUAAAGGGGGUACAGCCCCUUUAACAAAGGAUACAACCUUCGCAGGAGGAUAAAGAUCAUAAUAUAUAAAACACGCUGUUCUAGUGGGCCUAAAGGCAGCCACCUAAACAGAAAGCGUUAAAGCUCAGACAGAAAGAAGUUUAUUAUACCGAUAAAAAAUCUUACUCCCCUAAUUAUAUCAGGCCAACCCAUGCCUCCAUGGAAGAGAUUAUGCUAAAAUGAGUAACAAGAAGAUCUGAUCUUCUCCCAGCACAAGUGUAAACCAGAUCGGACCAACCACUGGAACUUAACGAACCCAACCCAAGAGGGUAGUGUGAACAAUACAGACCCCAGGAAGAACUCACAGCUAAACAAUCGUUAACCCCACACUGGAGUGCUAUUUUAAGGGAAAGACUAAAAGAGAGGGAAGGAACUCGGCAAACACAAGCCUCGCCUGUUUACCAAAAACAUCGCCUCCUGCAACUAUUAUCGAGUAUAGGAGGUCCAGCCUGCCCAGUGACUACGGGUUCAACGGCCGCGGUAUUUUGACCGUGCAAAGGUAGCGCAAUCACUUGUCUCUUAAAUAGAGACCUGUAUGAAUGGCUAGACGAGGGCUUAACUGUCUCCCCCCUCCGGUCAGUGAAAUUGAUCUAUCCGUGCAGAAGCGGGUAUAAUUAUACAAGACGAGAAGACCCUUUGGAGCUUAAGGUACAAAAUUCAACCACGUUAAACGACUCCACAAAAAGCAAGAACUUAGUGGCCAGUGAAAUUUUACCUUCGGUUGGGGCGACCACGGAGGAGAAAAGAGCCUCCGAGUGGACUGGGCUAAAUUCCCAAAGCCAAGAGAUACAUCUAUAAGCCGCAGAACAUCUGACCAAGAAUGAUCCGGCUGAAAAGCCGAUCAACGAACCAAGUUACCCUAGGGAUAACAGCGCAAUCCUCUCCCAGAGUCCAUAUCGACGAGGGGGUUUACGACCUCGAUGUUGGAUCAGGACAUCCUAAUGGUGC